ensembl:lncRNA
GUCUCUCCUGUCUGCACGGGGCUUCGGAUACCGCCUGCUCCUGCCCUCAGUGGUACCCAAGUUAGCACUUUCCCUCUCUUGGCUCUAUGGGGAAGGAACUGGAUCUUAACGCUUCGCAUCCUCCGAGCAGGCAGAGCACGGAGUUCACAGGAAGGCGCUUACUCGAAGCUCGCGGAGUUCUCGCUGUUGAUUAGUUGGGGACGUCCUAGAAAGAAAGGGCAGUAGGCGAUCGCGAGAAACAAGUGCCGCUUUACAACCCUCCACAUUGACCAACACGUUGAUGUUCCUACUAAGUGACUGAAAAUACAGUUGACCCUUGAACUGCAUGGGUUUGAACUGCACAGAAACAGAACUGAAGCUCCUCAGAGCCUCUAGAAUGCCAGCCACCUAGCCAUUUCAAAACCAUCUUAACCAUCUGCCGACCUGCAAACCCCAGCUGCACUAGCGGAAUGGGAGAGGCGUCUUAUGCUCAGAGAAAGCCUGGGGCCACCAGCAUGAAAUGGGGAGUGCACCAAGGCCGAGCACAACUCAGCAGCCCUAGAGGGCUGUCCACACUCACCUGGCGGGAGAAGCUGGGCAGGGAGCUUACCUCUCUCCUCUCCAUCUACCUGAAUCAGAGCUCAUUCAAAGGCAGAUUCUUUAUGGUUUGAACCACUGCUGCUGCUGCUAAGUUUCUUCAGUCGUGUCCAACCCUGUGUGACCCCACAGACGGCAGCCCACCAGGCUCCACCGUCCCUGCGAUUCUCCAGGCAAGAACAGGAGUGGGUUGCCAUUUCCUUCUCCAAUGCAUGAAAGUGAAAAGUGAAAUGCAAGUCGCUCAGUCGUGUCCAACUCUUUGCGACCCCAUGGACUGCAGCCUACCAGGCUCCUCCAUCCAUGGGAUUUUCCAGGCAAGAGUACUGGAGUGGGGUGCCAUUGCCUUCUCCGUUGAACCACUGGGGAAACCCCAUUUUACAUAUACUAUUUUCUACAAUUAUCUAAAUAAAAUACAUAAUCUAUUAUAUAAUCUAUUAUCUAGUUCUCCUAUAUAUGAUGUAUGAUCUAUUAUAUGUGAUAUAAAAUCUAUUAUGUAUAAUCU